GAAGGAAGAGACACUUCCCAUUAAGGCAGAAUUAGGGGGCGAGACUAGAAAAGUGGGGUUCAAUCCCGGAUCACAGCGGUGCUGAUACCUGCCAUGUUAGCAGCCUCCAUAUAUGUGACCAAACUGCCAAUCCACCAUCUCAAAGCUCAAGACAGUGAACGUACCGAAGAGUCCUUCAUCCCUACAACAACAAGCUUGUGAGACAGGUCAGCAACAGGGAAGAAACGGUCCUAAAGUGAAUAUCUCUGGGCUAUCUCUCAGCGGCCAGUGAUGGUCUCCAUCUCCAUCUUCAGACCCAGGAAUUCAAGAGACAAACAAUGGAUGAAAGAGCAGCACACUUGCCUCAAGAAGAUGGUCGAUCAACUAAAGAGCACAACAAAAAAGUGGCAGAAACCUGCUGGACAAAAGAGAAAGGUUGGAGCGUGCCACCACCAUGAUCCCUCAGCGAGGGCUAAAGAUCAAAUAUUUGGUGAAACACACUGAAGAACUGCACAAAGAACGGUGCAGGUCAGCAGCCAAGCGGCCUUUCUCAAAUAUGAGAAGGCUGCCUUAGAACCUUUGAGAAGAGGUCUCGAAGAAAUCUUGAACCUUCUUAAGAACUUAAGAAGCACCUCUAAAGUCUGCAGCAUUUACAGGUUGCGACGGACCAAAGUUACUAUGUGGAGAAAAGCCACUCCAGCCAACUGAUGCCGAAAGUCAGUCCUCUUCAGCAGAAUGUGAGGGAAAAAAAGAAGCAGGUCAACAAUCUACAGCAGCAACAGCAGCCGCCGCAGAGCUGUGCUUCCCAGGCCACAGUGGGAGACCUGUGGAAAGCCGAGGAGGACAACGGAGAAGGACUGAACCAUAUCAAAAUGACGAUGCAAGAAUUGCAGCUGCAGACCAGGUGUUUGGAGAAAGACAGAGAAGAUCUCCACAGGGAGGUCCCCAGCCAAGUGGCCUUCUUCAGAAAUGGUUUUGGCGCUCCUAAGCGACCAGCACAUGGGACAACUCGCUGACCCUCUCUCCCCAUAGCUGGAAUGGAGGAACGGUGGCCUUUUACCCUUUCAAGAAAGAAAAGGAAUUCUUCCCCUCCCUUCCCCUGACUUGCCACCUAGUGUGCCGGGGAGCCAGGCGAGCCCCCCCCCCCACCAGCUGAAGCAACAGCUUCACCGUCGCCCUCCCAGUCACUGAUUUUUCUGACACCCCAGCACUUCCCGGGCGAGUCCCUGAUGCCAUUAAUGGUCAUUAAGCAAGUGCAGUUUUGCCCAUUGCUGUCACUUGUCGUAAUUCCAAGCCGAUGGCCCUGCACCCAAGUCAUGAGCGUGCGAUCCUGGAGAUGCUGCUACAGUCAUAUGUGCGAGGACCCGUGAUACAUCACACUUUUCAGUGCCAUUGGAACUUUGAACGAUCCCAAAAGCAAAGGCUAUAAAACGAGGACUAUUGCAGGGUACUUGUUUAGGGACUGUACAAGAUUUAAUCUUUUUGUUUCUUUAGCCACAUUCUCAUAACAUCUUUUUAAGAUGAAUAACAUCUAAUCCUUAUGUGUAUUUCUCUUCGACUCCAUUUGUCAUGGACACAAAACCCUGGAUUCUCUGGAUCUCUAAUGCUAGAUUUCAGAUGCAAGGGACAACGUUUUAAUUUGGA